CCUACGGGGGGCUGCAGUGGGGAAUAUUGGACAAUGGGGGGAACCCUGAUCCAGCCAUGCCGCGUGUGUGAAGAAGGCCCUCGGGUUGUAAAGCACUUUCAGUGAGGAAGAACGCCUGGUGGUUAAUACCCAUCAGGAAAGACAUCACUCACAGAAGAAGCACCGGCUAACUCCGUGCCAGCAGCCGCGGUAAUACGGAGGGUGCGAGCGUUAAUCGGAAUUACUGGGCGUAAAGCGCGCGUAGGUGGCUUGAUAAGCCGGUUGUGAAAGCCCCGGGCUCAACCUGGGAACGGCAUCCGGAACUGUCAAGCUAGAGUGCAGGAGAGGAAGGUAGAAUUCCCGGUGUAGCGGUGAAAUGCGUAGAGAUCGGGAGGAAUACCAGUGGCGAAGGCGGCCUUCUGGACUGACACUGACACUGAGGUGCGAAAGCGUGGGGAGCAAACAGGAUUAGAUACCCCUGUAGUC
rnacentral:rRNA from 1 species